AGCAGACCAAGCCAGAGUAGUACACACAAAAGUAUGAAGGUAAAUGAAGAGCUUUCAGAGUUGAUUAAUGAUAGACUAAUAAUCAAGCUGAUGCAUUGCAGAUGGACCAGGCUCUGGAAGCAAUUGGUUGACUUCCUUAUCCAUAUGCAUAAUACCAGUACAGUUGUAAUGGUCUUGGCUGGACCAAUCCAUGAUCUGGUGUCAAGGGAGCAUUCUUAAAAGUUAAUGGAGGGCUACAA